UUUCUUUGUCUUGUAAGGGAGGUUGCUAGCUAAAAGAUUUUUGAAACUUGGUUUUCAGCUGGGCUAUCUUUUCAACACUCUCUUUUCCGGCCAUCGUAGAUUGUUUUAGGGAGUGGCAUUGGAUCUCAUUUUUUGGGCUUAAGCUAAUAUCAGAUCUUGAGUGAUAGACCGGCGUGGAUCUUGAAAGAUUGUCUGUAGAUGUCUUAUCCUGUUGUAAAUUUUAAGUUCUUGUUAUUGUCUAUACAUCCCUGUAUUUUGUAUUUUGAACUUCUGUAUCCCGAUUUUGUGUACUUUGUAGAGUUUGUAAUCCUGUAACUCAGUUGGGUUAUUAUAGUUUUACCUGUCCUGGAUCAGAUUUUGAGGCCUUGCAGGCCUAUGGGGCUCACGCCUUGUGGG